UACGAAGGGGGCUAGCGUUGUUCGGAAUUACUGGGCGUAAAGCGCGCGUAGGCGGACGCUUAAGUCAGGGGUGAAAUGCCGGGGCUCAACCCCGGAACCGCCUUUGAUACUGGGCGUCUGGAGUCCGGAAGAGGUUGGUGGAAUUCCGAGUGUAGAGGUGAAAUUCGUAGAUAUUCGGAGGAACACCAGAGGCGAAGGCGGCCAACUGGUCCGGUAUUGA
rnacentral:rRNA from 1 species